GCCGGGCACAGUGGCAUGUGCCUGUAGUCCCAGCUACUCGGGAGGCUGAGGAGGGAGGAUCACUUGAGCCCAGGAGUUCUGAGCUGUAGUGCACUAUGCCGAUCGGGUGUCCACGCUAAGUUCGGCAUCAAUAUGGUGACCUCCCGGGAGCAGGGGACCACCAGGUUGACUAAGGAGGGGUGAACUGGCCCAGGUCGGAAACAGAGCAGGUCAAAACUCCCGUGCUGAUCAGUAGUGGGAUCGCACCUGUGAAUAGCCACUGCACUGCAGCCUGGGCAACAUAGCGAGACCCCAUCUUU
rnacentral:SRP_RNA from 1 species